rnacentral:rRNA from 1 species
GACGAACCGUGCGAACGUUGUUCGGAAUCACUGGGCUUAAAGGGCGCGUAGGCGGGCCUCCAAGUCCGGGGUGAAAUCUUUCGGCUUAACCGGAAAGUGCCUUGGAUACUGGGGCCUUGAGGGAGGCAGGGCGGAUGGAACUUCCGGUGGAGCGGUGAAAUGCGUUGAUAUCGGAAGGAACGCCGGUGGCGAAGCGGUAGCUGGGCCGACACUGACGCUGAGGCGCGAAGCCAGGGAGCGAACGGG